UAACCGAUCCGAUGGACGCUCGCCGUCGAUUCUAUUUCGGGAAAAUACAAAUUUGGAAUGGAUGGUACUCCCGAGUCGUAAGCGAACUCCGCCGGUUGACUCCAUUUUUAGAGCUGGUCUGCGCGUGCGCAGCGACCGCGCUGCCAGUGCUCAGCGAGCAGCCAUCACGCCGCGUCGCUCGCCACCCCCACGUUGCGGCAGUAUCGCGCCGUGCUGCCAGUAAUCCCAUCACCAAGAGAUGGCGUGACGCACUAAGCCUUGGCUGAAUAUUAUUGACGUGUAACAGGUAGUUGCUAAUUGCAACUGCACAGGACUGCAGUACACUCAAGAAUGAAGACACAAAGCCUUGCGCGAGUUCCGUGCUUCCUUACUUCCCAUAGUGCUUAUAAUCGUAUGGAAUGUAAAGAAGUAUGGAGCUGCGCGGGCGUGCCCGCGGGUCCGGAAAUCGCAUCAUCCUGGUUCACAUGUGUGACAGAAGCUUUGCCUUGUUAUUUGUGAUCACAGUUUAAGUGUUUCAUUUGAAUUAAUUUGUGUGAUAUCUGUUUAAUCAGAAGCAAUGUGUACCUAUAUUUGCCAUGGAUCUAUUAUAUUUCAGUUUGUGGACGGAAUAAUAUCUUGCGCGACUGAAACUUAAUUUAGACAUGCGUUCCUCAAGAUAUUUUAGUGUUGGAAGUGGAAUAAUGUGUAAGUAAGCGGCAUUGCUAAACCGUUUAUCUAGUGAGUGGAUGGCAAAAAAGGGGAAACAAAAAACGGCAGCGCGUUGGGGCCGCGCCUGCGCCACAUCUGGAGGAGCACUGCAUCUCAUUAUGCGGAUCGGUCGCGGCUGAAUGGACGCCCGUGCCCUCGCCGAACAAUGCUACCAAUAUAACUAUAUUAUUUGGACAUUAUAUUGUUUCUUGCUUUUAGUCAUAUUGUUCUACUGAACCCACUUUUUUCAAUGUGUGCAUACAAUUUUUUAUUCCAGCACAGAUGUAAGUCAGUUACUCAAAUAAUGUCUUGUCUUGGUGCCGUAUCUUUUUAUAUUCCGAAGGAGACUAAAGUAAAAUAUGUAUGUUGUCGGAACAAAACGCAUUAAUCUAUUUUGUAUUACUUUAUUGUCUCAAUUGUUCUUGUAGAUUCAUUACUAAAUUUUACAUUCAUUGCGGAUUCUCGUAUAGCAGAAAGAAUCAUAGUACAUAUCUAUUUAUUUAUUUAUUUUGAUGUGCGAUAUUGUAUCAUUUUAGUUACUAUUAUACUAUUGUAGUUAAAUGUAUUAACAAAACGCGGAAACUCUUGUUAUAUUUUGAGAUAAAAUGUAUGCAAGAUAGGGUUUUACAGCUAAGAGUAGAGAGAAGAUAGAGUUUCUCUAAAUACGUUCGUUAACUACCUAUACGAAUGGACUAAAUACCAAUACCUCGCAUACGGAAUUCAAAUGAAUGGCAUAUAUUACUUUUCAAAUUCUCAUUGAAUAUUCAAUCAUCAAAGGUAAAAAUUUAAAAGAACGCCAAAAACAGGGCGAUCAUUAACCAGGUUCCGUUCAUUGUUUCAAGAGGCGAGGGGGCAGCGGCGGGACUAGGGCAAUGACAGCGCGCACGCAUUACGAUCAGGAGCAUUCGCAGUACUCGCACACUGUGCUCGGUCGGCGGUACAAGGCGCGGCCACCAACUAUCUCGGUGCUGCCGUGCCGUGCCGUGCUACCGACAACUGUACUUCGUCCCUUCAACAAACGAAAUCAACACAGCACAGCUAUAGAUUAAAUAAUAAUUACCCACAAAUCAAGAUUCUACCCGAUCCGCGCCCUUUAAUAGUGAACGCCUUUUACUAUCACACAAAAGAGUCUUCUAUGAGAAAGGGAUCUUGACCUACCAGUUUGUUCGGUACGUUCGACUCUCAAAAACAAUUUAUUCAUGCAUCCAUGCAGCGACUACGACCAACAAAAGAAUUUAAAACUAGACAGGGGGAUAAUGAAUACUAGACAAAGGGCAUUUUAAUAGAGUUACUUGCGUGCAAUUCGGUUUAGUGAUAUUAUUGAAGUUGAAUGUAAGAACAGGCUUGUAUGAAUAUAAUAGAAACGUGCUGUAUGAAUGAUAACAUGUGCGUCACAAGUUUUAGUGUAAACCAUUUUUUAUACACGAUGUAGUUUUUUUCUUAGACUAUAGAUACGAAACUGAAUCGGUAGAUGUCUUGUUAUUCGUGGAUGACGUGCGAAAAUAACCACCAGACGAAUCGUUGGCAGCGCUCCAGAGGCCACUGAAAGUCUCCUACGCCAUGCCUCUCUCUACAUAUAUUUCCAUACAUUAUGUGUAGACACAAUUAAAACUUAUAAAAUACAAAUAUUUUAAUUACAGCCAUUGACUCGAGAACAUUGGAUGGCUUCGUGUUUCGACGAUAUCAUUAAUGAUUUUGGUAUUAAGAAGUUGUUAAAGAAUAAUAAUUUACUGUGAAGCAAAUUAAAUUAAGUUAUUUUUCCUUUACUGAAGAUGUUGGUUUGAUAUUUUUAGAUCUUAAUAACUACGUGGGCGCCUGGUGACGUUAACUAAUUUAUUAAUGUAUUAUUUUUUAAAGUUCAACUAACAGUGAAUAUAAUAAAAUUAGAAAGAAUAAUUAAUUAAUUAGUCAGCGUUAGUAGGAUAGUCUAUCUGUACUCCAAAUUACAUAGAAUUUAUUUUCACUGUAUUAUUUGUACGAGUAAGUUAUAAACGGUUUCCAUCAUUCUUCCCAGAAUAAUGUAUACCGCUCUGGAUAAGAUACAUGAAUGUGUCAGAUCAAUAAAGUAAUCAAGUGCUUCCAACUACGUACGCUAGAUGGCGACACAUGUAUUGUAAUUUGUGAUGAUGAAAUGUUCAAAGAAUAAUGAACUGUAUGGCUAUGAAUAGUAAGUUUAUGAUAAUGUUACAGUGACAAAACAAUAAGAAACAUUACCUACUUAGAUUAAUAACUAGUGUGUACGUUCAUUAAAAUACAUAUACAGUG